AACUGUGAGGUCUCAGGAAGCAGAGCUCUCAGACAUCUCCACCAUGGCCUGGACCCCUCUCCUGCUCCCUCUCCUCACAAUCUGCAUAGGUGA
rnacentral:pre_miRNA from 1 species